UCUCUCCACUCCCCCUUUCCAGUGACGCACACAAUCCCUAGAUCCCUCUCCACUCUCCUUUCCCUCACCCACUCCACUCCCUCCACUCUCGCCCGCACGGCGGCACAACCGGCGGCCUCCUCUCACAUCAGUGUUCCCUUUCAUCCCCUCCACUCCACUCAUGCGACGGCGGUCACCACGUAGAUCGAGCGACCAGGCGGCAGCCAUGCACACACAACCGGCGUGCCGUCUCCUUCCACCUCGACGCACGACCUCGUGCGCCAGGAGAGUAGUGGGGGUCCUCUGCCUCUUCAUCGCUUAGCACCCCUGUCGCCACGCCAUGGAUGGACCUCCCUCUGCUCCAACCGACGCCAUGUACCGAGCUCGCUCCCCUCCUCAAGAUCGAGAACUCCACAGAUAGUUGCUCGGCUGCGUCACUCAACAUGACCAUCUCCUCGGAUUACAAGUUUCAGAGAGUAGUUCACAAACUGUAAUAUCCCAAGGGGUUGUGUGGUAGUUGCUCGUCUUCAAGUGAUGAAGAUUCGCUGGCUGAGACUACAGCCACUAUGUGCUGUCAAGGAGCUGUCAAGUCGAAUUUCAGAGUCUUGUUUCAACAGACAACCUUCUUGAUCUUCUUAAACAGGAGUGUUAGAUUACUCGGAGCCGACAACGAAGCAUCAUGAUGGUCUCCAACUCGUAGCAAUCUUGAUCCAUCUGUAGAGUUGUAAUCAGGAUGAAUACAAGACCAAUGAUACAUAGGCGACAAACUAUGCAGGCAACAUUCAACAAUCUUCACACAGUCUUAUACCUGGAACCGUCGUGUAACUAUCGUCAACAUUUUCAGCUACGGGAGGAGCCACACAGAGCAAAGAAAGAUCCUCUUCUUGGGAGUUCAUCAAAACACUAUCAGCUGAGGAUAUAUAGUGCUGCUAUGGACCAAGGAAUCAAGCAUUAGAAUUAUCUAAGCAAACAGACUUCCGAUAUUUUGCUAGGGUUGCUGAAGCCGAUUCUUAUGCUAUCAGGGCAUGACCACAACCAGUGCAGAGUUGUCCAAUCCACUCCUUUUGGGCCAGUAAUGGAGCAGACCCUUGGGACAAUAAGCUGGCAGCAAGGAAACCUGUAUCCAUCUUUUAUGCUGAUCAGGAGAACAAACUGCAAAAAAUGUGUUAUCUGGGCAAAAAGUGAUGACAUAGGAAGAGAUCUGAUCAAGUUGUCUAAAGAUGUUAUGACAUAGGAAGAGAUCUGAUCAAGUCAAUAACCCACUCCCACUCUGUCAUCCACUCUUUCAUUAUUUUCAGUUCAUGCGAUGGCUGUAUGAAAUGUGAUGGCUGUAAAAUUCAAAUAAUACAUGUAUUACGUGAGUGUCUAUGGGGCCGGAUCCUGGACGCCUUCGGCGGCGGCUGGUCAAAGGAAUAA